UCAAUUGUUUGUGGACUUACAG
rnacentral:miRNA from 1 species